AGAGUUUGAUCAUGGCUCAGGAUGAACGCUAGCGACAGGCUUAACACAUGCAAGUCGAGGGGCAUCACGGAUGUAGCAAUACAUUUGGUGGCGACCGGCGCACGGGUGAGUAACGCGUAUGCAACCUACCUAUCAGAGGAGAAUAACCCGGCGAAAGUCGGACUAAUACUCCAUAAAACAGGGGCUCCGCAUGGGGCUAUUUGUUAAAGAUUAAUCGCUGAUAGAUGGGCAUGCGUUCCAUUAGUUAGUUGGUGAGGUAACGGCUCACCAAGGCUACGAUGGAUCGGGGUUCUGAGAGGAAGGUCCCCCACACUGGUACUGAGACACGGACCAGACUCCUACGGGAGGCAGCAGUGAGGAAUAUUGGUCAAUGGGCGAGAGCCUGAACCAGCCCAAGUCGCGUGAAGGAUGACGGAUCUAUGGUUUGUAAACUUCUUUUAUCGGGGAAUAAAGUUAGGUACGUGUACCUAUUUGUAUGUACCCGUUUGAAUAAGCAUCGGCUAACUCCGUGCCAGCCGCCGC
rnacentral:rRNA from 1 species